UACGAAGGGUGCAAACGUUGCUCGGAAUCAUUGGGCGUAAAGCGCACGUAGGCGGCUCCAUAAGUCGGAUGUGAAAUCCCUCGGCUCAACCGAGGACGUGCAUUCGAAACUGCGGAGCUCGAGUAUGGAAGAGGGUCGCAGAAUUCCCGGUGUAGAGGUGAAAUUCGUAGAUAUCGGGAGGAAUACCAGUGGCGAAGGCGGCGACCUGGGCCAAUACUGACGCUGAGGUGCGAAAGCGUGGGGAGCAAACAGG
rnacentral:rRNA from 1 species